UGGGGAAUAUUGGACAAUGGGCGCAAGCCUGAUCCAGCCAUGCCGCGUGGAUGAUGAAGGCCUUAGGGUUGUAAAGUCCUUUUAACGGGGAAGAUAAUGACGGUACCCGUAGAAUAAGCCCCGGCUAACUUCGUGCCAGCAGCCGCGGUAAUACGAAGGGGGCUAGCGUUGCUCGGAAUCACUGGGCGUAAAGCGCACGUAGGCGGACUCUUAAGUCAGAGGUGAAAUCCUGGAGCUCAACUCCAGAACUGCCUUUGAUACUGGGAGCCUUGAGUUCGGGAGAGGUGAGUGGAACUGCGAGUGUAGAGGUGAAAUUCGUAGAUAUUCGCAAGAACACCAGUGGCGAAGGCGGCUCACUGGCCCGAUACUGACGCUGAGGUGCGAAAGCGUGGGGAGCAAACAGG
rnacentral:rRNA from 1 species